rnacentral:misc_RNA from 1 species
GCAAACUUGGUCAUUUAGAGGAAGUAAAAGUCGUAACAAGGUUUCCGUAGGUGAACCUGCGGAAGGAUCAUUAAAAAUUUUAUCGAAACCUUUUUAUCUCUUGGUCUUCGAUUAAAAAUUGUGCGCACCGUUUCGUUUCUCCUUGGCAGGGGCUUUGGUUCUUGGGGAAGUAAAAUUCUCUUUUUUUCCAACUUUCGCGCUGGCUCCAUCCCCAUUCUCUCCUCUCUUUUGGAGGUUUGGUGGGGACAGCUGGCGUGUUAAAGCCGUUUCCCUGCCGAGGAAAUUCAUAAAACACGCUUUUUUGCAAAAAACCUCUUGUCUGAAAAUUUUUUUUGCGAUUAACGCAUAAAACCAAAAUAUAACUUUCAACAACGGAUCUCUUGGCUCUCGCAUCGAUGAAGAACGCAGC